rnacentral:rRNA from 1 species
GACGAACGCUGGCGGCGUGCUUAACACAUGCAAGUCGAACGGAAAGGCCCUGCUUUUGUGGGGUGCUCGAGUGGCGAACGGGUGUGUAACACGUGAGUAACCUGCCCUUGACUUUGGGAUAACUUCAGGAAACUGGGGCUAAUACCGGAUAGGAGCUCCUGCUGCAUGGUGGGGGUUGGAAAGUUUCGGCGGUUGGGGAUGGACUCGCGGCUUAUCAGCUUGUUGGUGGGGUAGUGGCUUACCAAGGCUUUGACGGGUAGCCGGCCUGGGAGGGUGACCGGCGACAUUGGGCCUGAGAUACGCACCAGACUCCUACGGGAGGCAGUAGUGGGGAAUAUUGCACAAUGGGCGGAAGCCUGAUGCAGCAACGCCGCGUGCGGGAUGACGGCCUUCGGGUUGUAAACCGCUUUCGCCUGUGACGAAGCGUGAGUGACGGUAAUGGGUAAAGAAGCACCGGCUAACUACGUG